rnacentral:snRNA from 1 species
GGAUCAUUCUCUAAACCUUACAGAACACUCACUUCUCUCUCACCACUCCACAUACAUGCUUCCCAGAGCUGUCUGUUCAAUUAAAAAGGACAACCUUCUCCAAUGUAGUAGCACUACUUUUAGGUCAGGGGUAUAGGAAGAGNUGCACUCCCCUGCUAGAACCUCCAAACCAGGUAUCAAGUAAGGAGGUGAACCAUAGACUCGGUUAAACA